CCCGUCCCACCGCGCUCUGCGAGUCUUCUAGUCUUUUCUGCUGCCGUCGUCCCUUGUUCUGCUUCAUGUGGGAGCUCUUUCUGCUUACGGGAGCAUUUUUUCCGUCUUUUCGAUCUUCUACCGCUGGAGGUAUCGAUCGUUUGUUCCACUUUUCUGUGCUAUAGCUGAUCGUUGAUUGACAACGAGAGAGAGCACGCUUGUCAGCAUUCAUGUGAAGUUACACGACUGUUUACAUGCGUGCUCCUUCCCGUUGUCAUCCUACUGAAUCGCUUAAAGCAUUUCUAGUGGUUGCAAAGAUUGCGUCUGCCUGUCCAUUCUCAACCUCAACUGUUUACGUGUGCAGGAAACACAGUAACAAGGAGCUAAGAUAAAGUAUUCAGAUGCCAGCACGUGGACCCCUAAGCUGCCUCUCCCUUUUGUAGUUUACUGCGGUACCUUCACAAGGUAUGGCAUAUCCAUGUUUUAUUUCAGAUAAGGAACAUGCUAACCUAACGUUAUGACGUGUUGAUGUUGGCUAUAUUUUUAGAAAUUGCAGAUAUCUGAUAUGAGUUUUUGCCGAACUUAAUUUUCUUUAAAAUAUUUGAAAUGGCUCUACGACUGAUGUGGGCAACAGCUUGAGUCUUGUCUUGAUUAAUUUCAAUUGCUAUAUUAUAAUUAAGAGAAAAUCUAAUGACAAAUUUCACAUUUUACUAGUAUUAGCAGCCAAAGACACAACGGUAGGCCAAGAUAACUCGUCUAUUAUUAUCUAACUUCUAACAUGAGUACUGCCUGGAGAACACAUUGGAUUUUAUUCCUCACAUAAUUUUCCACAUCUGUCCGAUUGGAGUUGGUAUAUAGCCUUAAACUUGCUGUGUUCUGGAUGUGAUAUUUGAGGCAGUUGCAAAGAUCUAGCGAUUUUCAUUUCUUCUGUUUUUUUUCUUUUUUUGCCUUUCAGGGAUAUAAAUAUACAUGGUGGGACGGAUGACAAUUGACUUUUGUUUAUGUCAGUUCAUUUCUUGUUUCUUUCUUUUCCUCAACCUUCUCUUCUUUUGUUCUUCCUUGACUUCCUCCAUCACCUACAAGUUGACCACUUUGUCUGUUUCCACAAAUGCCACGUUCAGCACUUUUUCCAAAUUGCUCUCUCUCUCUCUCUCUCUGUGUGUGUGUGUGUGUAUCUACGUUCAUAUAACUACAGAAAUAUGAAAAUCACAAAACAUGAAAUUGACAAGCUUUUUCAGCCAUCUAACUAAGCAGAUUUGGAGUUAGACGUGCUGGAUCUGGUUUCAGGGUUUCAAUUGUUAGAGCUCCGCCUGGUUUCUAAUGCAUAUCAGAUGCGAACUGCCACAUAAAUUCAUGAAAAACUGCCAGCUAUUAUCCACCUUUUAGAAUAGCUACUUUUUAGCAGUGAUAACGUGGUUUACCAAUACCAUUUUGGCAUUUCCAGGUUCAAAGAUGGGUGUAUAGAGAGAGUGAGAGGUGUGUCAGCAUUUUAGCAGUCCAAUCAAUUUGAUAGGGUGGCUCCUAGUGGCGGUUAUGAGUUUUCGUCUUUCGUAGUUCCUAUGAUCUACUUCCGUUUCAUCGUUAUCCUUUCUGUGUGCGUGCGAUGACAGUUUGGUCGUAUUGAGCAGAUGAGCACAGGGUUAGGUUGCUAGCUGUAAAGCUAGUCCUCUCUUGUUAUGCAAGGAUUUCUCCUUGUUGCAAAGGAUGCUUCUCCUGUAGAAGUUGCUUGGUAAAAAGCUUUUAUUUUUUGCCGCUUAAGAGCCUUGUGCGUUUUUUUUUCCCCUCUUUUAUCUGUGUUAGUGCCUUAAUGGGUAGCUUGUUCUCUUGAUUCAUCUGUUUAUGAUUGCUUUUUGGGUAUAAUACUGAUUGUAUUUAAAGCUUCUUUGAGCUUUAUCCUGCAUUUAUAGUGCUCUAGUACUCAUGCACACCCAUCUAGUAGUAGAAAUGGGAAUGUAAAGGCGUUAGAACAUCGUAGAUUAUAACUCAUGGGACCAACAGCUUUUAGUUUGCGGUUUAAGGGAUGAUGAGAUCAACCCAAGAUUGAAUGCAUAAUAUAUAGAUUCAGCUUUUGGGCUCGACUUUAUGUUCGCAGUAGAUAUGACUUUAGAACAUACUUGUGUCAAAUGUUAAGCCACAUAAAUGCUUCUCCUUAUUUUCCUAUCUACUACAUCCUCCGUUGAUUAUGCUUGCUUGAUUUCUGCUGCCAGUGGCUUCGAACUGUUGGAUUGUAUAUGUCGUUUGGUGGUUUUCUUUACUGGAAUAGAAGUCAUGUCUCGCCGAGGUGUUAGGAGGGCUUCAUUGGGUCUGCUACAAGGGUUACGUGAGAACCAGUAGAGGGCAAGGUCGUGAUGCUUCCUGCUUUUGACCUUUUGGAGUACUUAUCUGAGAGAGACUAUAGUGGCUUUCUUGUUGGUGCAUUUAAUCCUCAUCCAAUUGCGGCGGUGAUGAAGUUGGAAUGUCAUCGAGUUGAAGUAACGGAAGAACCAGUGGGGCUUGUACGGAUAAAUGAGUAUAAAAGGAUUUCAAGCGACAAAUAUUCUUGAUGACGAGAAGUAUCCCGUAGGGUGGUCUGAAGGUCCAUGAAGAUAGUUAUUCCAGAUAGAGGCAAGUAGAAUGCAUAUUAGGAUAUGAAAAAAACCCAGAGAAGGCAAUAUGGGAGUCAGAUAUGAGGAAGCAUUGUUAUGGCUUCCUUCAAUCUGGGGAACAAAGCAACAUCCAUGUAUCCUACAAUCUGCAAACUAUGUAUGUAAGACAAUGUCAUAGACCUACUUUACGAGAGUAAAAUCCAGCCAAAUACUGUGAGACAGUGGUAGAAGUGCUAAGUGUAGACAAAACGGAUUUUCACUUCUGACCCGUUCAAACUUGAGGACUUCUUGGUAAGAGUCACCUCUGAAUUGGGCGAGAUAUUUAUUAUGGGCUUAAAAAAGUGAAAGAAAAGGUUAAGAGUUGCUCAUAAAGCUUAAUCUUUUUGUCAGACAAAUAUUGCUUCAUAAUAUACCUUAUUGCUAAGGAAUGAAGAAGACAAAAAACAGGAGCAAGGCACUUAUUCUAACUUUAAGAGGUCAAUCUGGUCUGAGGACCCAGUGUUAGACAACCUCCCUGAUGAGCAUAUUGGACAAAGGGAAGCAGUCAAAAGAGGUUUAGUCGAUGUUUAUUACUAAGUCAGCAUUCGAUUGCACACCCUGAUUUGAAGGGAAACCUUUACAAAGGGUGGAAGAGAAGAAAUUUCAUCUCAUCCUAGAAUGUGGCAUGUUUGAUGAAUUAGCAGAAGUUCUAGUAGAGAAAUUUUUAGGUGUUUGAUAACUAAGUGAGGGAAGGAGAGGAAAACAAUUGUAAAUAAGCAACUGUUAUAAUUUUUUAUUUAUUUUUUAACUUGUUUUCAAUAAUCACACGAUUUUCUUUAUUUAAUUUUAUUUUAAAUAAAAAAUUGAAAAAUAAGUUGGCAAGCCAUACUUUUAUUUUAAAUAUAUUUGAAAUCAAAAAAUAAAUUGGUGCGGGCCAUUUUUUUAUUUUAAAUAUACUUAAAAUUAUUUUAAAUUACUUUCAUUUCAAAGGAAUCUUCAUUUCAAUGCAUAUUAUCUACUUCACAUUCUCACAUAAAAAGGGAACACUGCAGCAUUUAAUCAAAUAACGUGUUUAUGAUAAACCCCCUCAUGAUAAAAGUUGAACACGAUAUAUCGGAUCUGAGUGUCCAAUUUGUGCAAUUGAGAAACGAAAAACACAUGCUAUACCAUCACACUACAAGACAGUAUCCACCAUCUAUAUCAGUCUGCCACUUAGGUGGCCCAGAACAAUUUAGGUUGGUACCCAAAGAGUAGAAGCUGUCCUAAUCCCUUACUUGCAUUAGUCUAAUCUUUCCAAAGAAAAUAAAUUUAUUGCCCACAGUACCAACAAGUGAGUGGUGUCAUCAUUCACAAAUUGGUCAUCCACAAAGUAGGUUUUUCCCCUUUCUUUCUUAUCUAGUCGUUUUUUCAACUUGUUGUAUCAACCAAAAUUUGAUCACCAAAAGAGGAUUAGGUUGUACAUGAACCUUGUAAAAGAAAACAGGAGAAAAAGUUUAUAAGCAACAACGCCCUUUCUCAUGCAUUUCAGCAAAGACAUGGUGGACAUUCCUGUGAACUCACCAUGGGAUGCAAAGAGAGAGGGGUUUUACCUCAGCAAAUUCAUGAGCACCCAGUGAUCCAAGUCUGAUUCAUGGGUUCUCCAACUAUUUCUAUAACCUGUAUUCAUCACAGAAAAUGAUGCCUGCAGAAUAGGAAUGACAACAAAAUUGCAGAAAGUAAGUACAGCUAUAUUAUUGAAAGCAUCUGCCUUUUGAAGAAGUGUAGGUUUGGAAUGUGCCAUGCUAUGCAAACUUAAUGAUUCAAUUUGCCAGUUAUCACUUUACUACAUGAGCAUUUAGUGAAAAACUUUAAAUUGUUGCUGGAAUUGGACCGUGUGACCAUGAUAAAGGAACCAUAUGCCAUCCAUGACCAUGAAACAGUACCAAGGUGGGGAACUUUUCCAUAAGAAAUUUUUUUUCUGUAUCAUAGGACUUCAAUAUCAUUAACACAUUUGAAAGUUGUACAGCAUGGUAAAGGAGGCUAUUCAACCAGCAUGGUUGCAUCUGAAAAGCGCUGAUCGACUACUUUCAACUUUCCACAUGAACUUAUGGCUGCCGCAUCUUUUUGACAAUUUUCACCAUCAAGAGAGGUGGCUUUUUAUUAUUUAUGUGCAUCAAUAUGAAAACUAUUGGAGUGCCAAUGUCAACAUCUUAUUAUUCUACUACAAAAAUAAGAAAGUAUUAUCAGCAGGUCAACCAAGGAAGAGCUAAUUUUGCUAGUUAAGCUGAAAUUACACAUGUUCUCUCAAUGAGCCCUCUAGUUGGAAUUCCAUUGAAAGUAUCAGUUGCGGUUACUUUGAAAAUGAGUUCAUCAGGUUUGAUAUUCUUCUGAAUGAGUAAAACAUACCAAAGCUUCUAAUGGCUUGAAGCAGUUAAUGAAAAAGUAUAUGCUUUCCACAACUGCAAUAACAUUGUUGAUUUGCUUGUUCGAGAAAGUUUACAUUAGUAGAAUGGGAACACGGUGAAAUUUCUACUCUUGGAGUGAAUUAACAUCUUAAUAUCUAAUUGGUCUUCAAGUUCUAGACCAGCAGCUAUACUUGCUUACAUGGGUCUCCCUCACUACUGAAGUGAGGACAGUAAAACAUUUCACUAUUUUUUCUUCUUUUGUUAGUCUUCCAACCAAGUGACAAAGUAAGGGGAAGGCGUAAUAGACUUCCUGGAUGUUACAGCCCAACCUUCUUAGGUUAGAAAGAUCAUAGGAGAAGGACUUCCUUUAGGGGCCCCAGGUAAUAUUGAUGGUAAAACCUUAAGAGGUAUAAAGGCCAUGUACUCACAGAUUGGUAUGCUUAUGGUUGUUGAUUGGUUUACAGAUUAGGUGAGCAAGAUGUUAGAGAUGCUUUUUCACAUUCUGAUCUCAAGAUGUAUAUGUUGAACAACUUUCUAAAACAAGAGCUAGAUGAUCCUGAUAGAAAGGUAUGUAAUUUUAAACUUAUGUUUCAGAAAACAGUCUACUGCCUGGUUUCAGUUGAGAUCAGCAAAUUUUGUGUUAGUAAUAGCCAAAUUGAUUGAUUUCUAAUGACAAUGUAGGCAGUGACAUUAACAUGUUGUUAUUUACAUUGAUGAUAUUGGAACAACUGUCAUACAUGACUGACAUAAAUUAAUUGCACACAUAUUUUUAAGAAAAGUCUGUAAAUGAAGGAUUUAGAGAUGGAUGAUAUAGGUGUAGGAACUCACACGAGGAUCUGAUAUCCCUUGUUUUGAAGGACUGUGGAUGAAGGUUUAGGGCCUGUUCCUUGAUCUGCAUGUCCUCUGAUCUCUGGGGGCCAGAAGGCAUCCAAAUGCUCUCUGGUUCUCUUUAAUACAGAACUCAGUUGGAUCCAAAACUGACAGACAUUUGACAAACUCUACUUUAACGUGCUCUAUUUUAACGUUGUAAUAGACUACGCUGCAGUUUUUUAGUAAGUAAUGGGAAAAUCGAUUUUGCUCAAGUGGAGGAUGCUGAAUCCAAUGGGGGGAGGGAGAGAGAGAGAGAGAGUUUUUUUUUUCCUUAAUUUUUCCAUGCAAACAAACAUAAAAAAAUAAUGAACGAAACAUUUCAUGCUUUUGCAAAUAAGGGAAAAUGAAAAAUGGAACUCCUCUAUGAAAAUACACUGCAAGAAAAGCUUCUUAGGAAAUGUUUCCAUGGAAAACUUUUUUGCUUGCAGUCAAAGGGCGUUAAUAAAAAUAUGCUAUUGACUUCUGCUUAAGGAGAAGAAGAUGAGCUAUUUGUAAAUUGUUUAUCUACUUAGGUGCCAGUAGACAACAAAAUGAAGUUUUGCAAACAUAGAUCUGAAGGCAUGUACAAAUAUAACAUGAUCUUUGUCGGAGAUAUGUUUAGUAUAUCACGUUCUGGUUUUCUGUUGAUGCAAGAUUUUCUCAAAGAUCACAAGUUUUUCUGAUAUCAGUUGAUAUAAUUUUUUUUAAAGAUUUUUUUGUGUGAUAUAAGCUUUUAUCGUAUAGUAUGUUGCAUUACUUGACCUGAUAUUUCAUAUCUAUGAGCCUCAGCCUACUCUGGAGUAUAUAAAUAAGUUCUAUUUUGAAAAAGGGAAGCAUGAAACAUGAAGUAUUACUUGACUGGCUGGAGGGAUAUUGUCCUGACAUUGGGAAGUAGAUAUCUGGUAUUAUCUUUUUUCAGAUGAUUUUCAUGUUCUAGGACAAUUAGAAACGACAUAGUAGCUUGAUUUGGCAUCUAUAUAUAGCUCCAGUUUCAUCGAACUUGCUUGGUUUGGACACUAAUCAGACUUAUUCAUCGCCUUGAGUAAAAAAUUUGGCACAUAUAUCACAUCUUGUGACACUGGCAUAAGAAUUCUGCUGUUCCUGUUUGUCAUGAAAAGACACAAUGAUUGAUUUGAGACUUUCUAAUAGAGAAGGUGGACUAUGUUGAAGCUCAUUUUGUUGGAACAAUGAAUUGAGUUGCUAGCAUUUUUGAACUACAUUAUAGAUAUAUUUUUGUAUCAUAUCUUGCAACGUUGCCAUAAUAAUUUUCCUCCUUCCUGUUUGUCUUGGAAAGGCAAAGUACAUAAUGACAGAUUUAACACUUUCUAAUAGCGAAGGUAGAAGAUAUUGAAGCUCAAUUUGUUGGGACAAAGAAUCGAAUUGCGGGAAUGAUUUGCACUAACCAGAUUGUAGAUGUAUUUUCUUUCUAUUUUUUUUUUCUUUAUUUUAGCAGAGAAAAAAUAUUUAUCUAUGGUGGUAUGAGCAUGAUAUAUAUAUAUAUAUUCU